CUGUUCCUCUUCGCUAUGCUGCUCAUCCUUUGCGUGAUCCUGCGGUACAUUUGCCGCGACCUGGACAAUGACUCCAUCUGAAGCAGUUAAAGCACUGCCUCAGCCCUCUGAGGCCCCAGCCCCGCGACCCUGAGUUCGUCCCAGAAUCCACGUCUCUUCCCAGGACCCCGUGCUCUUCCUAUGGAUUCUGUGUUGCUCCCCGGGACCCAAAGCCCUCUCCCAGUCCCGCAUCCCUCCCCAUACUCUGGGUGCUCCCAUCUCCGACUCCGUGCCUCUUCCUCAGUCCACUUGCCCUUCCCUUGUUUCUAAAUUCCUACCCUGGACCCGGUGCCCCUCCCCAGAUUCCUUGCCAACGACCCAAUUCCAAGCCCCACCUUUCACCCCGUGCGCUCCUCCCCCGGACCCCGAGUCCCUUCCCAGGACCUUAGCGCCCUCUCUUAAGCUUGACAUCCCUUCCCUGCACCCCGUUGCCCUCCCCAGACCCCCAGAGUCCUCUGGGAAAUCCCAAGGACUCCAUGUUCUUCCCAAGACCCUGUGGCUCCAUCCUGAUCUGUGAUCCUGAGCCCUCUCCCCUGACACUCCCCCUUCCUUGGAGCACUCUCCUCUCCCCCAAGCCCGAGGUCCUCUCCCCAUCUCUGAAAUCUGCUUAUUGCCCCUACUCCCCACCACAGCCCUGCAUCCUCUUCUGACCCCACACUCUGCAGCUUUCUCCAGACCCUGGAGAAACCCAGUGUCUUUCUUCAGAAACCCAUAGCCCACCAGCCAGCACCCCUCAUCCCACCCUAGGCCCAGAGCCCCCUUCUCUCAUGACCUCCCCAGGACGCCUGAGCCUUCUCCCAAGCUUGUUCCCUUCUCGGGGUCCUUUGCCCUUCUCCAGAUUCUGCUGCCACCAACUGCUAAGAGUCCAGCAAGACUGAGCGACUUCACUUUCACUUUUCACUUUCACUUUUCAGUUUCAUGCAAUGGAGAAGGAAAUGGCAACCCACUCCAGUAUUCUUGCCUGGAGAAUCCCAGGGACAGAGGAGCCUAGUGGGCUGCUGUCUAUGGGGUUGCACAGAGUCGGACACAACUGAAGCGACUUAGCAGCAGCAGCAAUCCUUCUGGAAAACUUCAAUGCAUUCUCCAAAUGUUUUCCCAUUGGUUUGCCAGGGUAGAUUUUGGGAACAGAAGACAGCAGCUUAUACUUUGACACCAUCUUGAGAGCUACAGGUCAAACUCCAUCCAGUGACUGCUCGACAUCAUGGCCCCAAACCCAGGAAAGCAUGAAGUCUUGAUGAGGAGCUGAAAACACCAGAUGAGCAUCCUCAUUGUGUAUUAUGGACUCCCUAAUCUAUGGUCAUGUGAACCACUACAUUUCCACCUGAAUUUUGGUCUUAGGCCUAUUUUUGUGCUUAAGUAUCUAUCACCUUACUGUCUUGACCUCUCUGUUGCUAGAAGGGUGGAUUUACUCACCAAACACAGUCUCAGGUCCUUUUGACUUAAGCAAAAGUGAAACAGAAUUACUAAACACUUGUUUCAUACACUCACUUUUCUGUAAUAAUGACAGGAAGGCCAGGCCUGGAAUUCGGACUGUGUGGGCACUUGUUUCUUUUGACUAACACAUACACUCUCAGGGAAGGGCCAGAAUGUUUAUCCUGUUAGAAGAGUCAAAGGUCUCUGUGUCUUGAAUGUGCCAGAGGAUAUUUUAGGAAAGGACUGGGUUUUGUACUUCUGGAAGUCAUCAGAAUAUUGCACUCCUCCAAACCUAAAUUACCUUCCUAUUGCACCUGGUUGGUCAUUUCCUCCUAAAUGCCACUUCAGUUCUCCCAGCACUUGGAGGACAUGGGCUCAGCUUGUCAUUCUGUGAUGACCUCUUUCUUGCCAUCAUUUUGUUCUUUCACAGCAGUGAUCAGACUUCCAUGAAAAAUGGGAUUUUUUUAAAGCUACCCAUGGGCUAAAAUGGUUCUGUCUCUGUUGGCUGUGUAUGUGUCAGGCACCUCUCCUACAGAUGUUUGCAGAGGUGUACUUGUAUCACUGCUCCUGUUUAUGUUUAUGGUCAUGUUGACCUGUUACAUGUAUUGGGGGCCAAAUAGAGCUGAUCCAACCAGAUUGCAGGAGCUGUGAAUAAGACAUUAUUUAGCGAACACUUUCUGAUCUCCCACUGAGUGCCAAGGCCCAUAGUGGACACCAGGACCACACAGCAUGAUAAGUAACCCUUACCCAGAGGAGCUCACAAUGUUGAUAGCUUAGUUGCUACAAACUUUGACUAUUUUUCAGAGUUCUGAUAAAGUUGGUUCCAACAAUUUCUGCUUGAGUUUUUUUUUUUUUAUUUCUGAGGUUCUAAAGAUUUUCUUUUUAGAAAAUUUUAAAAUGUGAUAUCCAUUCUCUAAUAGUUGUAGAUACAGGUUAUGCAUUUCAUCAGGGGUGAGUUGGGCAGUUUCUGGAUUUUGAGGAAUUGUACAAUUCCAUUUAAGUUCUUCAAUUUAUGUACUGUACAUAGAUUUGUUCUCAGUGUUUCCUUUUUAUCUUUCCAAUAUCUUUAGGGCUUGUAGAAUUGUAGUGAUAGUCAAUAUUUCAUUCUGAUAUUAGUCAUUUGUCAUCUCUUUUUGAUUUUGUUUAUCUGGUGAGAGCUUUAUCAAUUUUGUUGAUCUUUUCAAUGAACCAGUUUUUUUUUUUCCAUGAUUUUUUCUCUUUAUUGUUUAUUUCAAUUUUUUUUUCUCUUCUGUUUUUUGUUUGUUUGUUUUCAUAUUGCUUUGGGUAAAGUUUUCUCUUCUUUUUCUAAGUUAAGGUUGAGGCAUAGAUUAUUGCUCAAGGUCUUUCUUCUUUCUUAAUCUAAAUAUUAAAUGCUAUAAUUUUCCCUCUUAACACUGAUUUAACUGCAUCCCAUAAAUUGUAAUAUGUUGCCCUUUCCUUUUAAUUCAUUCCAGUGCAGUUUCUACUUCCUUGAGAAUCUCUUUUUUACUUAUGGAUGGUUGUUUAAUUUCCAAGUAUUUUGAGAUUUUUCUUCUCCUUCCAUAUUGUUUGAUUUCUAGUUUGAUUCUUUUCUUGUCAGAAAACAUACUUUGCAUCAUUUAAAUUUUUAAAAUUUGUUUUGAUGAAAUAGGAUGCUAUCUUGGUGAAUGUUUCCCAUGUGUUUGAAAUAAAUGUGCAUUUUGCUGUGGUUGAUCCAGUGAUAUUUAGAUCCAUAGUGUUUGUGAAUCACACAGGUCCCAGCCUGCCCCUUGGGCAAUGGUUCAGUUCACCACAGUUUUGGUAUUCUGUCUCUGGUGAGAUUCCUGUAUGCACAGCUCAGGUCGAACUCAAGAGUUCCUACAACUUGCUGGAAUCCCUUGCUCAUAUUUGCUCUUCUCCACUAUCUGCCCUCAGUCUUUGGUUACCAGGAGACUCUCCUUCUGGUCUUCUCACUGAGAGUGGAGGGGUUAUUUAGUUUGCUCACUCUGUUGUAUACUUCCCUUCAAUAGAUUCACCUAGAUGACCAAGUGGUCAGAUAAUACAAAAACAGCACAACAGUCACUUCUCACAGAAUUUUUUCUCUAUGGAGAAAAAUACCGCCCUCCCUCAAUGUUUUAGGUGUCUGCCAUGCUGUUAUUGAGUCUUUUAUGGUAGGGUUAAAGAUCUGGGCCUGGGCCUUUUGCUUCUACCCAUGUUAUAAAUCCUUCAGUAUAUUCAUGCUAUUUUG